ACGAACGCUGGCGGCGUGCUUAACCCAUGCAAGUCGAACGGAAAGGCCCUGCUUUUGUGGGGUGCUCGAGUGGCGAACGGGUGAGUAACACGUGAGUAACCUGCCCUUGACUUUGGGAUAACUUCAGGAAACUGGGGCUAAUACCGGAUAGGAGCUCCUGCUGCAUGGUGGGGGUUGGAAAGUUUCGGCGGUUGGGGAUGGACUCGCGGCUUAUCAGCUUGUUGGUGGGGUAGUGGCUUACCAAGGCUUUGACGGGUAGCCGGCCUGAGAGGGUGACCGGCCACAUUGGGACUGAGAUACGGCCCAGACUCCUACGGGAGGCAGCAGUGGGGAAUAUUGCACAAUGGGCGGAAGCCGGAUGCAGCAACGCCGCGUGCGGGAGGACGGCCUUCGGGUGGUAAACCGCUUUCGCCUGUGACGAAGCGUGAGUGACGGUAUGGGUAAAGAAGCACCGGCUAACUACGUG
rnacentral:rRNA from 1 species